rnacentral:rRNA from 1 species
CAAUAGCGUAUAUUAAAGUUGUUGCGGUAAAAAAGCUCGUAGUUGGAUUUCUGUUGAGAGCGACCGGUCCAUACCAUGUAUGCGUAUCUGGCUUGCUCUCGGCAUCCUCUCGAUAGACGUUACUGCGCUUGAUUGCGUGGUGCGGAUCUCGGGACUUUUACUUUGAGGAAAUUAGAGUGUUCACGGCAGGCUUUCGCCAGAAUACAUUAGCAUGGAAUAAUACUAUAGGAUCUUGGUUCUAUUUUGUUGGUUUCUAGAAUUGAGAUAAUGAUUAAUAGGGACAAUUGGGGGCAUUCGUAUCAACACGCCAGAGGUGGAAUUCUUGGAUUGUGUUGCGACGAACUACUGCGAAAGCAUUUGCCAAGGAUGUUUUCAUUGA